rnacentral:rRNA from 1 species
UACAGAGGUCUCAACCGUUGUUCGGAUUCACUGGGUUUAAAGGGUGCGUAGGCGGAUUGGUAAGUCCGUGGUGAAAUCUCUAAGCUUAACUUGGAAACUGCCAUGGAUACUAUUAGUCUUGAAUAUUGUGGAGGUUAGCGGAAUAUGUCAUGUAGCGGUGAAAUGCAUAAAUAUGACAUAGAACACCAAUUGCGAAGGCAGCUGGCUACACAAAUAUUGACGCUGAUGCACGAAAGCGUGGGGAUCAAACAGG